rfam:Caenorhabditis briggsae complete genome, chrX
AGUCACAAAUAUCGUGAUGGCAUUGAAAGGCAUCAUUGCCAUCCGACAUUUGUGGUUGA